ensembl:lncRNA
CUUCUGGGUCAUCGAGUAGAACCUAAAUAAAGAAUAUGGACUUUCACUGGUUCCCUUAAACAAAACACAACGGAUGAGUCCAUAUCAAGCACAUUCUUAUUUUAUUUGUUUCAUAUUUCUCAUCAAUAAAAGCGACUUUAUUAAGGCUGACAACUCGUUCAAACCCAACAAUGUGAAUCAAACACGUUAGACAAACAGCAGACAUGUAGAAGAAGAAAAAGAGACAAAGUUUAACCUCAAAGGAGCAUAAUUCAUCAUGAGAGCACGUGGAUGACGUCACUCCACCGUGUCUUUCAUAGCAGGAAGAAGUUUGAAUGUCAGAGAAACUAUUAAUGAAAACAUGUCAAUAUAAACCCUUUAUCUUAAAAUGCCAAAUAAAACACUGGAACUGACGUCACAGGGUUGAUCUCCCGUCUCUGCGCGUGGAUCUAGAAGCUGUGGAUCAGAGUCUGACAGAAGCUGAAGGUUCUCCAACGUUUUCAUAGACCACUGCACCUUCGUCUCCAUCUUCACGCUGCACCUGUGAGCAGCAACACCUGAGACUCUGAGACAAAGGGAGCAGAUGAAGCAGCAUCAGUGCUGAAGACGAGAAGAAGAAUCCCUGUUAUGUUGGACUCACUCGGUGAUACAGGCCUCACUUUAUUCUUCUUAUAAACUAGUGAAUCAUCACAAACACAGCGUUUGGUUUCAUUUUUUAAACUCACUUCGUUGACGUCCAUCCGGGUUUCUCUCCCUGAAGGACAGAAGCAUCAGUUUCAUGUUAAGUUUCCUGUGUGUGAAUGUUCCUGAUAGAAGUGACGCCAUGUUCUCACCUUUAGAUCUCUUCCAUGUGAAGAACAACACAACAAGAACAACCACCGUCGCUGCAGCCAGAAUGAUGAACCUCCACCAGCCUGCAAGUCAGAAUCCAAACGUCACAAAGCUUCUCUGUUUAAACACUUUCUCUCAUCUCCUCCCACAGCGAGAGUCCGCCCGGCCUUCAUCCUUCAGAAGGUGGUGAAGAGGCCGAGAGGAAACAUCCUCACUCACUUUGGCUGGUUGGAGAGUCGCUCUGUGCAGGUGGUGUAAUGUUUCCCUCCCCCGAUGGGCCUCCUUUGGUUUAGUGGACUGUUUGUUCACAUGAGAACUGACUGCAGGCUUCAAACAGCAGAGUUUUUCCACUCUGAUUGUUUCUCACUUCACAUCUCAGUGACUUAUAAUACUUUGACUUCUGAUGAAGAGGAGCUUUAAACGUCACAGUAGCUUCACAAGCAGCGUGUGAUGUCGUCAUCACAUCAGUCUGUUUGCCGUCAUAAAGCCACUUUACUGUGUGUUCACACUCAGAGGAUCUCAACACAAAGCAGGACAACUCAACCGAACCCCCGUAGUCCUUUUCCUCCACUGGUGAAGAUGUUCAUAAUGUGAGAAAGACAACAAGAGUAACAUUAACUUCUUCAUAAUUUAAAUGAUAAUAAUGU